rnacentral:rRNA from 1 species
UACGAAGGGGGCUAGCGUUGCUCGGAAUCACUGGGCGUAAAGCGCACGUAGGCGGCUUGCUAAGUCAUGGGUGAAAUCCUGGAGCUCAACUCCAGAACUGCCUUUGAUACUGACGAUCUCGAGUCCGGGAGAGGUGAGUGGAACUGCGAGUGUAGAGGUGAAAUUCGUAGAUAUUCGCAAGAACACCAGUGGCGAAGGCGGCUCACUGGCCCGGUACUGACGCUGAGGCACGAAAGCGUGGGGAGCAAACAGG